UAGAAAAAUACAAAAAAAAAUAUGUAAACAAAUAAAAAAAAAGACAAUACUUAAACACCUGUUCUUUCACAGGAGCUACACUGUCCAUUGCAGUUCCGGGCAGGCAUCAGAAAUGCCUUCAUCAUCCAUGCAGCAGAUCGUCAUCCAUGGUGCUGACUUGACUCCUUGGCUCUUCUUGAGUUCUCAGAUGAUACAAAACAUCAUUAAUUGUACCAACAUACGAAAAGGGGAUUCUGUCAAGCACACAGCAUUGUAUGCUCGGGAAAUCCACGAAGAGCAGAUGUACAGCGCCAUUAGCAGACAGCCAUCUGACCUCAAAACAUUUUAAACGUGCACUUAGACAAAAACAAACAGAAAUUUUUUGUGCAUUUAGGAUAAAGAUAUACCAUUCAUUGUUCAUUAAUAUUUGUAAUUUGAGUAUAUUGUCAUUUAAUGUAAUCUUUUCCGUAUUGUUUGUUUUUAAAGCUUAAAUUAUCAAAACUAUUAUUUGGCUUACUGCAUGUCUGUAGACCCAGAGUGUUAAAAACUUUGCUCAUUUCUAUAGAUUUCUAUAAAUAUAAACACAGUUAUUUUUUUAUUUUAUAAAAUCAAAUAAAAUGGAUUGUAGUGGAAUGUUGGUUCAGUUAUAUGGAAUUUGUCAUGGAUAAUAUUUUAUGUUUUUUUGGCAUAGUAUUCACUAUAAUCUGCAUUUUAAUCUUUGUGGUUUUCUUUAGACCAUAGUUAGGCAGUCAUUCAGUCAUACUUUUAAGACCUGUCAGUUCAUAUAAAACAAUCAUUUUUUAUUGUAUUACCAAAAUGUAAUGCAGACAGAAAACAAGGGUAUAUGGCCAAAACAGUGGAAGCAUGGAAAAUAUCAACAUACAGAGUUUUUAUUUAUUUAUUUAUUUAUUUAUUUAUUUAUUUAUUUAUUUAUUUAUUUAUUUAUUUAUUUAUUUAUUUAUUUAUUUAAUAAUAAACAAUUAUAUGUUUUGGCAAUGG
rnacentral:lncRNA from 1 species